CCUUUUACAUCUCAUCUCUUUCGGUUCAAUCUUCCCCAGCCAUCACAACCAAGGGGAAAUUUAUUUGCUGAGUUGGUGAGAGAGAGUUUAGUUUGCAAAAUAGACCUGACUUCGCUUCCUCUUCUAGCUUUUAAACUCCACUUCCCUCGGAUCUUCCGAAGAAGAAAUUCUGUAACGACCUGGGUGUGGAAAUUUAGCUUCUCUUUAAGCUAAACCUCAACUGUCAGGGGCUUUCACUGAAUCAUGGAGCUGUGUGGUAAUGGUUUUGAGAGCAAGCUGAAGAGAAGCAAAACAUCACACAGUAUGCAGACAUCCAGCCAAGACAUCCUGAACAUGGAUGCUGAGCCUCUGUGAUGACAUACCCUUCUCUCCUGCCUCUUUUCUGGAAUAGUGCUUUUUCUCUCUUUGUUGCUUUUAUCCGUAAGAUGCCUGUGGCCGGGAUGAGUCUGUUACAUUGUAACUCUGAUCCCUUGAGGGGUGAUUGGUUGAGUCUGUUACACUGUAACUCCGAUCCCUUAGUGGGGUGAUUGGUCCAGGAUUGAAUAAUAAGGAACGCAUUUAUCCCUCACUUCCUCCCAGGAACAAAGAAGCCAGCCUUACUUCACAGCAACUGAUAGAAAACUGAAUCCUGAUACUUCUGUAGACUUUCACUCCAAGAGUUUGGUUUUGGUUUUGUUUUCUCCUUGAGACAGGGCCGUAGUCUUUUCUGGGUCCUGUGAACUGCCCCAGCACCUCCUCUCUAGCAAGCUAUCAUCUUCUCAAUCUUUAGACUGUUUGAAUUGAGUCUCUGUCUCUUGCCAGGAGACGAAUCCCAAGCCACACAUCAACUGUCUUUCAAAAUCCCUCUAAUCUGGUGUGGGUUUGCAACUCUCACUGGACCGCAGAGUCUUGACUCACGGAGGAGGAGACAGCCAGGGGUGUGGAAGUCAGAAUGGCUUUAACUUCCAGUUUUGUUAUUUACUCACCGUGGCCCCGGGGAAGCAGCUGCAAGAUAGCCGAGAACUCCUUUUAAAAGGAUACCUGGGCAUGGAUGUCACAUUCAGAUCACGGCGCAUGUGUGGGAGAUCAGAGGACAACUUUUGGAGGUCUGUUCUCUCUUCUACCAGGACUCAUCGGGCUCAACUCAGGAAAUUUGGCUUGUAUGGCAGAUGCUUUGACCCACGGAGCCAUCCUGCCUGCCCCAGAGAACUUUUGAGUCCACUGUCAUGCCAGAAUAAUUUCCUCCAUGGUUUCAAACCCACUAUAGUGAGGUUCCAGGUUUUUCCUGUGGCCCUCUGUCUCGGGCUGAGAGCUCCAGGGAGUGAGAGGCAGAGACAUGCAUAAGUGUUGAGUUGUGGAAAUGCUCGUGGGAAUCCAAGUCAGUGAGCAAGUGCCAGGAUAGGAUGGAAGAAAACGUGAUGGCCGGCUCAACCUGUAUCACACACAAACCUCUCCAAACUGGAAGAACCUACCAGAGCUGUCCUGAAAGGGGACAAGGCUGUCUAGCUUCCUGCCUCUGCUUCCAGGAUCGAGCACUUCCCUUCUGCCAAAGGCAAGGUCUCAUAAGGAGACGUAACUGGUAGCAGCCAGCAGCUUGCACCCCAGCAUCUGGAAGAACCAGGGUCCUGAGGGGAGUGUCUUAUGUGUGCACAGGGCAUCCUCCAUUUUUUUAAAAAAAUUAUUUAUUUAUUUAUUUUUUAUUUUUUUAUUUAUAAUAUUUAAGCUUGUCAUUAAAUCCACCACUGUAGUAACUGAACAUUGAGCAAAGGUUCUUUACCCGUUAGGGGAUUCAACCCUACGACACAUAAGCGUCAUUCUGUACUCCAUUUUAGAGCUGUUGAUUUCUCUGAUUUGGGAGAAACAUUCCCGAGCCACAGUGGCAGAAAGUAAUACUAAGACCGCACUAAUUAGAGCCUGCUUCCAAAGGAAGAUGGUAUCCUAUCUGAUCAUUUUAGUCAAGCUGAAAAAGUUCUUUGAAGGGUUUUCAGAUCUAGGCCCCAAGCUGGAACCUGUACCGUCCCGCAGUUUUGCUAUGCGCCUGGGUCUUACUGGAUUCCUGACUCCUCUCUCAUAGACUGAGUUCCUAUGACACUGGAAGUCCUAUAUGUGUUUUCUUUUUAGAUUAAAAACACAAAUUUCUAAUUAUGUGGUGGGUAUGCACGCAUGACCGGAGGUGCCCAAGGAAGCCAGUGCAAACAGAUGCUUCCGGCACUGGAGUCACAGGAAGCUGAGCAGCCCAAGUGGGUGCUGGGAACUGAACUUAGCUCCUCUUCUAGAGCAGCAGAUGUUCUGAACUGUUGAGACAUUUUCUCCAGUAUUCACUAUGGGUGGUUUUCAAUUGCUCUUUUCCUAUGGCUGUACAUCGAAAGUCAGGUCACGUGGCUAAGUUCAGAGCUGGAGAAAAUAGGUAUUCAGCUCUUUGAUGUCACGCUUUAAGGAUGUAGUGAGAGGAAAAUUAUAUACUCAAGUUAAUCAUGAUAAUUUGUGUAUUGUGGUAGAUAUUCAUGCAAGCCAUGGACUUUUUUCCCCUCCCUUACAGGAACUGAUUUGCCUUAUAAUCCCAACUGUACAGUUGCACUAAAGGAUGCAAAAUUUUUGUACUGCUACGAUGCGCCCUUCCCUUACCAGAGUUGACCAGUGUUGGUGUGUGUGUGUGUUUGCGUGUAUGUGCAUGUGCGGGGUGUGUGCUGGGGCAAACACUCUACUACUGAUCUGUCCCCAGCACUGGAGCCAGCAUCUUAGAAUUGUCCCUGUGAGUGAACCCCCCCCCCCAGAUGUGUCUGGGGACCAAAGGUGAGACUACAAUGAGUCUUGGUCAUCACCACAUGGAACUGCCAUUAGGUGGACAGGAGAGAGAGAGGUAAGAAGACAGAGUCCAGGCGAUGUCUAAGUGCCUGUUUCUAUUUUCAAGUUUCUAAAUCUUAAAAAUACAGACUGUUAAAGUUUUCAGUGUUUGACUACACAGUUCUUGAUUCAAGCACCAAAAGACCCUUCUUAUGAAUGUUCUUUUCUGCUACCACAAACUGUGUUCCUGCAUCUGUAAUUAAAUUAAGGUCACAACUCAA